UUACUCAAGAAUAUACCAGGAACAUCACAAUCAAGAUUGCCAUUCUUCCAGAAUGCAAGUUGAAUUUCAUACCGACCAAUGGCAAAGCAAUUUGCAGCAUAUCAAUAAAAAAGAAGUCCUAUCGGUGGCAUACCAAUAGACCUGGGAAUUACCCCACAGUUUAUGUUGGAAAAUG